CAGAUUUGAUCCUGGCUCAGGAUGAACGCUAGCGACAGGCCUAACACAUGCAAGUCGAGGGGCAGCGGGGAGGUAGCAAUACCUUUGCCGGCGACCGGCGCACGGGUGAGUAACACGUAUGCAAUCCACCUGUAACAGGGGGAUAACCCGGAGAAAUCCGGACUAAUACCCCAUAAUAUGGGCGCUCCGCAUGGAGAGUUCAUUAAAGAGAGCAAUUUUGGUUACAGACGAGCAUGCGCUCCAUUAG
rnacentral:rRNA from 1 species